CACUAAGUUUUUCCCCUGUCCCCCUCCCCACCCUACGUAAGGGGAGGAGGACAGAUCUGACUUUCCUUUCUUAUGUACGUAGUAUAGUAUAGAAAUAUAGAUGGAAGUUAUCCUCGCUGCAAGCAGCAGCAAAGAGGUGACCUCCUCUCUAACCACUGUAAGGGGAGGAGGACACACCUGACUUUUUUUUUCUCCAUAGUAAAUGAGGAUAGAAGUUAUCCUCGCUGCGAGCAGCAGCAAAGAGGUGACCUCCUCUCCAGCCACCAUAUGGGGAGGAGGACACACCUGACUUUUAUUUUUUCCAUAUUAAAUGAGGAUAGAAGUUAUCCUCGCUGCAAGCAGCAGCAAAGAGGUGUCCUCCUCCCCGACCACCAUAAGGGGAGCAGGACAGAUCUCGCUUUUCUUUUUUUUUUUCUCCACAGAAAAUGAGGAUAGAAAUUAUCCUCACUGCAAAGCAGCAACAACAAAGGGUGCGGAGGCCCCAACAGAGAUUACUCCGCUCCAUGGAGCCCUCCCUCAACCUUCACCAAGGUUGAGGCUGGAGACAAUCCAACCCCUCCAUCACGGAGGAGUUGGAACGGUGGAUGCGGAGACCUCAACUCCUCCGCUCCACCAAUCCUACUCUACCUUACCCUACUCUAACUUAACCUACUCUACAUUAUCCUACUCUACGUUAUCCUACUCUACGUUGUCCUACUCUACUCCAGAACCCCGCCAAAUUUAUGUCAGACUUAUCCUGUCCCCCUCCCCACCCCACAUAAGGGGAGGAGGACAGAUGGGAUUUUCCUCUCGUAUAUACACAGUAAAUGAGGAUAUUCUCCUCAAAUCUCUAAACCGUCCACAUAGACCUCAAACUUCCUCCAGCCAUCUCCAACAACACAAACCUGAUCCUAGCCGAAGACCUGCAGCAACGAUGGGUGCGGAGGCCCCGCCACAAACUCCGCUCCAGGCAAACCUCCAGGCCUCAACAAGGUGAGCACAAACAGAGAUGAUCCUCUCCCCCCACCCUCCCCGGUAAUGGGAAGUGCACAGAGUUAAUCUGAGCCUUCAUCUCCACACAGGUUGAGGCUGGAGACAAUCCAACCCCUCCAUCACGGAGGAGUUGGAACAACGGCGGCGGCCUCAACUACUCUGCUCCACCUACCCUUACCCUACCUUACCUUACCCCAGACCCCACUAAGUUUUUCCCCUGUCCCCCUCCCCACCCUACGUAAGGGGAGGAGGACAGAUCUGACUUUCCUUUCUUAUGUACGUAGUAUAGUAUAGAAAUAUAGAUGGAAGUUAUCCUCGCUGCAAGCAGCAGCAAAGAGGUGACCUCCUCUCUAACCACUGUAAGGGGAGGAGGACACACCUGACUUUUUUUUUUUAUUUCCUCCAUAAAUGAGGAUAGAAGUUAUCCUCGCUGCGAGCAGCAGCAAAGAGGUGACCUCCUCUC
rnacentral:lncRNA from 1 species